rnacentral:rRNA from 1 species
GACAGAGGGUGCAAACGUUGUUCGGAAUUACUGGGCGUAAAGCGCGUGUAGGCUGCUUGGCAAGUCGGAUGUGAAAGCCCUGGGCUCAACCCAGGAAGUGCAUUCGAAACUGCGAAGCUGGAGUCCUGGAGAGGAAGGCGGAAUUCUCGGUGUAGAGGUGAAAUUCGUAGAUAUCGAGAGGAACACCGGUGGCGAAGGCGGCCUUCUGGACAGUGACUGACGCUGAGACGCGAAAGCGUGGGGAGCGAACAGG